AUACUUACCUAGGGGUCAAUGGGCGAUCAGUAAGACCCAUGGCCUAGGCUUGUGGCCUCCACUGCACUUUGGAAGGGUGCCUGCCUAAGGUUGGCUCAAGUGGUUGAGCCUAUGUCAUAAUUUGUGGUAGAGGGCAGGGGCAUAGCCAGUCUUC